AGUGAACGCUGGCGGUAGGCCUAACACAUGCAAGUCGAACGGCAGCACAGUAAGAGUUUGCUCUUACGGGUGGCGAGUGGCGGACGGGUGAGGAAUACAUCGGAAUCUACUUUUUCGUGGGGGAUAACGGAGGGAAACUUACGCUAAUAGCGCAUACGACCUACGGGUGAAAGCAGGGGAUCUUCGGACUUUGCGCGAUUGAAUGAGCUGAUGUCGGAUUAGCUAGUUGGCGUGGUAAAGGCCCACCAAGGCGACGAUCCGUAGCUGGUCUGAGAGGAUGAUCAGCCACACUGGAACUGAGACACGGUCCAGACUCCUACGGGAGGCAGCAGUGGGGAAUAUUGGACAAUGGGCGCAAGCCUGAUCCAGCCAUACCGCGUGGGUGAAGAAGGCCUUCGGGUUGUAAAGCCCUUUUGUUGGGAAAGAAAAGCAGCAGGUUAAUACCCCGCUGUUCUGACGGUACCCAAAGAAUAAGCACCGGCUAACUUCGUG
rnacentral:rRNA from 1 species